rnacentral:lncRNA from 1 species
AGAGCUGCAGGGGAAGUGGAUUAAGGAGGAGACUGACCUUGGUUUGGGUUUCUUUGAAGUCAAAGCCUGAGAUAAGAGCUUGAGUAUAGGAAGGUUAUUUGGGAAGUAAGCUCAGGAGCCAGGAGUGAGGAAGUGGAAAGAGUAAAACAGGAAGGGAGAAAAGCUAAUAAAGGGUCUGUUAAUGAUUGGUUACUGCUUUGGGCAACUGGGGCUCAGUCCUGGGAACCCUCAGAGGAACAGCGCAGAACUAGGAUAGGGGAGCUGGAGUGUUUGCCCACGGAUCUUUUACCAUUGGUUAAGCCCUCAUUACCUUUUCUGCACUUCCAGGUUGCACCUACAGGUGGCUGCUGAGUGCCUUUUGAACUUCAGAGGAAGGCUUGUGUGAGCAAGGCAGAGACCUUAUGUUGGAGAUGGAAUGCUGCAAAAUGCAUGGAACUGUCCACCACCACUGUGCUGAAAUCAAGUGGAUCAAGGAGAUGUGGCACGUUGCAUCAUGACCAUCUGCUGCAGAGAUGUCCACGCAGCUGAGUAGGAGUAGGAUUGAACUUUGGCCUCAGGCUGUGAUGCAUGCUGUUGGACUGAUCCCUUCUGCUGCUGCUACUCAGAUCCCCUGGCUGGACUUGCAGCUCCUGGGGGAACACAUGCCUCAUGUCCUGGAAAGAACACAGUUCUGGAGUCAGAGGCCAUCAUUUCAUCUGGGCUAACUGUGUCUUGGUCCCUGACUAAUAUUGAGGCAAUGAAUGCAGAGUAUAGCUCAGCCCCAUCCUGGUUGAGAAAUUUCAAACAUACCAGGAAAGUAAAAGAUACGAGAGCCUUAACAAGGUUGUAAAUAUACAUGAAGUCAUCCUCUGCCUUUCUUCUUUCCUUGAGGCUAUGAUCUUUGCUACACGGGCUACAAUCUGAGUGUGGAGUGCUAAUUGCCAAAUUGACUUUACUGAGAAACAAAACAGAAGAAAAUAGAACUUAAUUUUCAAAUGUCAGUUAAAAACCCAUAUUAAGUGCAAGCAAUAUAAAAGACAAAGAAAACAAAAAGGGAACAUCGAACCCCACUGAAACAUACUUGGCAGGGAAAAGCAUUGCCUCAACUUUUCCCUGCUCAGAUUUUAAGGCCUCUUCAAGAGGACUCUUGGAUGACUCUGAAAUUAAGGUACAGACCAAUUUAGCCAAUCCAAGGAAAGCAGAGAAUAAACAAUUGAAGUGAGAAGGUCCCGAGGUCCUAAGUAUGUCUGGCGAUCUCUUCUACCACUCCUUGACUCUUUGGAGCACACCCUGACAGUGACUCAUUUGCAACUGGUCCAUGUAGGUAAGCCUUAACUUUUCUACCCUCCAAUCCCACACCUGCAAGUUCAACACCUGGAAUGUGAGAGUUGUCACAGGAUGGGCACUCCAGGAAUUAGGGGAUUUACUGGGAGGGCUCUGGGGAUUGAUACAAAUGAAAGAGAAGAGACUUCCAGUAGCAAGAUUGGGCCAAAGGAGAAGUAGAGCUGUGAGGCAGGCUCAACAAUGGUUUUGGCUAACACUAUGGGGAGCUUCAGAACUUCCCCUGUUGGUGCAAGAGAACUUGGCUUUUAAGCUCCCUGUGGAUCAAUCACUGGAUGCUGAUUGCUGUGGGAAGGAAGCAUGACACUGAGCAAGGUGGCUCUCCAGCAAUUUAUAAAAGGGGCUGACAGCUGCCUACAGCUCUUAGCAGCUGGGGCAACAAUUCCUCCUUUCUUAAAGGAGGAUCUAAGUGAUACAUCACAGCAUCCGUCGCAAGGACACUAAGACAGACACUGAUAAUUCCAGCAAAAGAGUAGAAAUCAGAUGAGAAAGGGGAGCCCAGCAGACCCAGAUUCCCUAGUGCCUCCAGCCCUUCCAGAUGGUCCAUUGGCAGGAAGCUUGCUAUACAAAUCCAUCAGGCUCUGGAAGAUGCAAGACAAAAGCUGAGAGGUAAGCUUAAAUCUUCUUUUUGCUGGUGGCUGCAUGGCCCGACUCUGAUACAAAGGCAAUGUCCACUAGCAACAGGGAAGCCAGAAACAGCUCCAAAAAUUGAUUCUACAAAGGAAGGACGUGAUUCAGAGUAAGCUGUUGUCUUCAUUGUCUCUAAGGAACCUGUGCUUUCAAAGCUCAGAUUGGUUUAACUCAACUACCUUGGAAUGUGGUAAGCAGCAAAGGCAAGUUCACCAAGAUUUCAGUCAUGUUAUAAGGGCUGAGCCAUGCUGGGCAUUGCUCUCUCAGUGACUCUUAUCAAAAUAAGGAUGACUCAGAUUCUUGAGUUAGCUUCUCUGAAAGCCUUCUACUUGCAGCAACUGGAGCCUGAAUUCCAGUAUCAACAAGGCAAUAGAUGCUCAUGAAAUGGGACUAACCCUAGAAUGAGAAACAGAUCCACAGAGAGAAAGUCUGAUCAUUCCUAGGUUUGGCUAUCCUUUUCCAGCUCUUCACUCCAGCAUUUUAAGCUUGGCCUGCAUAAGGAGACCUGGGGCCUGGAAUGAAGCUCUGGUCUCAGGGAGCUCCAAGUGAGAUGAUCAUGGUUGAAGAAGGUCCAAAUGAAGUCAGGUGUGGAGGACUGACCUGCUAUUUUCCGGGAUGACCUUUUGAGUCAUGAAAAACCAGGGAGUUAUGAGCCAAAUGGCAGGCCUUAUCUAUUUGGAUCAUCUUGAUUUUAGAAGGGAUGCCGUAUACAGUUAAACAGUUUGUGCACUGCACAGCUCCAGGGCUGUAUUUACACAGACCACAAUGUGAUCGGCUAUCUAAUCCCUCACAUGCUUCCUCUGGGAGGUCUUUUCUGAUCCUCUCACAGUCCACGGGACUCUCCCUUCAGUGGACACUCAAAGAUGCUACCAGACGCGCCUCUGACCCCAGUCUCCAGAAAGGACCACGCCCUCCAGAAGAAUUCUCACUGGUGAAAUCUGAAGACCCUAGAUGAGCUGCCAAGGGUGAACCAAGAAGGGGGCUUUAACUCCUCAAGUAAAACCCAGUCCCCUCAGUGAUGUUGAACUACCCAUAGAAAAACCACAUCGAGGCCAGUUGUGGUGACUCAAGACUGUAAUCCCAGCAUUUUGGGAGGCUGAGGUGGGUGGAUCACUUGAGGUCAGGAGUUCGAGCCCAGCCUGGCCAACAUGGUGAAACCCUGUCUCUACUAAAAAUACAAAAAUUGGCCUGCCGUGGUGGCGUGUAUCUGUAGUCCCAGCUACUUGGGAGGCUGAGGCAGGAGAAUCACUUCAACCUGGGAGGCAGAGGGUGUAGUGAGCUGAGAUUGCACCACUGCACUCCAGCCUGGGCGAAAGAGUGAGACUCUGUCUCAAAAAAAAAAAAACAAGAAAAGAAAAACCACAUCGAGGUGGGCCAGGGAGGACCCAGCCAUUGCCACAGAGGUGUUCAAAUGCAACCUCCUCUUGCAUAUGAAGGGAGAUCAGCUGACAGUUUAGCUUGAAACUCUCAGGAUACCAGAAUUCCCUACUUAGGAGCUGGGGCCAGAGCCAGCCAUGUGCAUUUGUUCAGGCUUCAGACAUCCUUCCUUAGGAGCCAUCAGGAACUGGACUUAGUUGAGCUGCGACUAAAUUUCAUCUUGCUUCGAACAAGAGACUGCAACCUUCCCAUUAAUACCACUCAGGCCCGAGCCAGAAUCCCCCUGUAGCUAUGACCUGCUCACUUGAUUACCCACUCAGCCUGGUUGGUACAACACCCCACCCCCAUCACUGCUCCUGGCCCACCCUCUAGGACCAUAGACAGCCCAGGACAAAGCAGCUGUACUAAUAGUAUGAGACACCGCAUAUGUUACCUGUGAAAUCUAGUAUAUAUCACACUCCACCACCUCAGUCUGGUGGACAGAGGCCAGCUUGCUUUGAUCUUUCCAUCCCCAGGGGCUAGUGCAGUGAGGAACACAUAGUGGGAGUUCAAAAAGCAUUUGUUAAUACUGCCAUGCAUAUAAAACAAAGUUUAAAAUUUCCUAAAGUAAUAAAAGGAGCAUAGCUCUAGUAUCAUCUAUUUUUUAUUACGUUGUGUUUACACGCCUCUGGUUAGUAACCCAAACCUGUUUCCAUGGUGAAUGUGACAAGACUAUGUAAUUAUGGGUCUGUAACUUUUUCUUUUUCUCUUUCUUUGGAAAAAGCUAUGUGAUUGCAGGACUAUAACUGUAUCUUCCUUUGUAAACUAUUCCUAAAUGUUAUCUUGUAGCUAACCUGUCACAGCCAAGGGCCUCCUAGAGUAGGCUUCUCCUGCCAGAAAGUUGGCUAUUUCGUGCAAAGUUCUUAUAAAUGUUUAAGGAGAACUAAGGCAGAAAAAUUAAAGGCCAGAAUGAGAAAAAGAGAAAUAACAUUUUUGUGGAGCUAACUUAUGCCAGAAUCUAUAUGGCCUCAUUUAAUCCUCACAACCCUUAUUUCACAGAUGAGAAAACUAAGGCUCAGAGAGGUUGCCUGAAGAGACGCCCCCAUUGAAUCCCCUGCGUUCCAGACACACUCCUCCCUACUUUAUUUAUUUAUUUAUUUUGAGACGAAGUUUUGCUCUUGUUGCCCAGGCUGGAGUGCAAUGGUGUGAUCUCAGCUCACCACAACCUCCACCUCCCAGGUUCAAGCGAUUCUCCUGCCUCAGCCUCCUGAGUAGCUGGGUUUACAGGCAUGUGCCAUCACACCCAGCUAAUUUUGUAUUUUUAGUAGAGAUGGGUUUCUCCAUGUUGGUCAGGCUGGUCUUGAACUCCCGACCUCAGGUGAUCCACCCGCCUCGGCCUCCCAAACUGCUUUGAUUACAGGUGUGAGCCACCGCACCCAGCCUCUCCUCCCUACUUUAAUCGUGUAGCAGUAGCUCCUUGUGGCAAUCAGGGUCCUUUACCCUUGCUAGUGUAGUAAUUCCUUUCUUAGUUACCUCGUCCUUCAGUAUGAGGAUCCCAGAGUGAUCAGGUGGUAGUGGCCACUUCAAGUUCAACGAGUAAGUCCCAUGGCAUUCAUUCAUCCACUCCGCACUCCACCACGGAUACUAGCUGUGGGGAAAUAGCACCACAUGCCUUGUUUUGGCUCAAUGCAUUUCUAUAUCAUAGCGCAAAUCCAGCAGAGUGUUAUCUCUGAAAUGGAGCCUUACUGGGGAUGACACUGUAUUGGUCCGUUUUCACACUGCCAUAAAGAAUACUUGAGACUGGAUAAUUUAGAAACAAAAGAGGUUUAAUUGACUUACAGUUCUGCGUGGUUGGGGAAGCCUCAGGAAACUUACAAUCAUGGCGGAAGGUGAAGGGGAAGCAAGGCACGUCUUACAUGGCACCGAGACAGAGAGAGAGAGAGCGCACAGGGGAAACUGAAACUUUAAAACCAUCAGAUCUCAUGAGAACUCCCUCACUAUCAUGAGAACAGCAUGGCGGAAACCGCCCCCAUGAUUCAGUCACCUCCCACCAGCUCCCUCCCUGCAAUAUGGGUAUUACAAUUCAAGAUGAGAUUUGGGUGGGGACACAGAGCCAAAUCAUAUCAGACACUCCUUAAUAAGGUGUUCUAUUAAGGUGGUUGCUUCUGAAUAAUGGGGUACAUUGUCAGACCAGAGGAUUCUGGGUUAUGUGUCCAUUGUUGCACUCUCCCUGCCCUUUAUUUUAUUUUAUUUUAUUUUAUUUAUUUAUUUAUUUUUGAGAAAGAGCUUCACUCUGUUGCCCAGGCUGGAGUGCAGUGGCACAAUCUUGGCUCACUGCAACCUCCACCUCCCAGGUUCAAGUGAUUCUUGUGCAUCACCCUCCCAAGUAGCUGGGAUUACAUGUGCGCACCACCACACCUGGCUAAUUUUUGUAUUUUUAGUAGAGAUGGGGUUUUACCAUGUUGGCCAGGCUGGUCUCAAACUCCUGGCCUCAAGUGAUCUGCCCAUCUUGGACUCCCAAAGUGCUGGGAUUAUAGGCAUGAACCACAAUACCCAGCCUGUUGCACCCCUUUGUCAUAAAAAUGGGCCCUUUCUUCUGAGACAGUGUUGUGCUGUGUACCAUGCUAAGAGGCCAAGCAUCUUGUAGACCAAUAAUGGUAGCUCUUAUGGAGGCAUGGUGGGCUGGAAAAGAAAAUAUAACUGGAGUAAGUAUCAAUUUUGUUAAGGGACAAUUUCUACUUCCUCUGGCAUAAAAGAGUCUGAGAUAAUCAACCUGCCACAAAUGUCCUUGACGAACUUUGUGAUAUCAACGUUUCAAGGUCAGUUCUUGCUGUGGGUUAACCUGGGUGAGAGGGAACCCAUGUUGUUGGACCCAUACAUAGCUUCCAUCCCUGCCACCACAGGCACUCUGUUUGUGCAUUCAUUAUGCCACCACUGGAGUGGCUUAGGAGACAGGCUGGCUGACAUCCAUAGGAUAAGUCAUCCUGUCCAUCCACCUGGCUGUUGAGAGCCUUCUCUGCAAGGGAUGCUCCCUGUUGGGCAUCAAUGUGAGAUCCAAAGAUCUAGAUGCUUUUUACUUAUUCCCAGAAGUCCAUCCACAUGCCCUUUCCCCAGACAUCCUUGUCCCAUAUCUUCCAGUCUUACUCCUUUCAAGUUCCUGGCCAACCAGCCAAAGCAUUCAUUGCCGCCCCCAGAAUUCUUGUUAAUCCACACCUUAGGCUAGUUUUCCUCCCAUAAAAAAUGAAACAAUUAAAUUUACUACUGUUCUCUGCUUUACCUACCAGGAAAAUGUUCCUUUAACCACUGUACUUUAUAAAAUAAAUGUUUGGCCAAAACCAAUAAUUAAUGCCAACUCAUCUAUGAGAAAAUUUUCUCUCCCUUUAUUGGAUAUAGGAUGAAAGGGACUAGGACCCCUCUCCCCCACCAAUAAAGCCAGUGAUGUGAGUUGAGAGAGACAUACUGUUGCAACAAGGGUACUGAGU